UACGUAGGGACCGAGCGUUGUCCGGAAUCAUUGGGCGUAAAGAGCGUGUAGGCGGCCACUUAAGUCCUGCGUGAAAUCUUGCGGCUCAACCGCAAGCGGUCGUGGGAAACUGGUGGCUAGAGUGCGGGAGAGGAGAGUGGAAUUCCUGGUGUAGCGGUGAAAUGCGCAGAUAUCAGGAGGAACACCGGUGGCGAAGGCGGAUCUCUGGGGCCAUUACUGACGCUGAGGAGCGAAGCGUGGGGAGCGAACAGG
rnacentral:rRNA from 1 species